UACGAAGGGGGCUAGCGUUGCUCGGAAUCACUGGGCGUAAAGGGUGCGUAGGCGGGUCUUUAAGUCAGGGGGGAAAUCCUGGAGCUCAACUCCAGAACUGCCUUUGAUACUGAGGAUCUUGAGUUCGGGAGAGGUGAGUGGAACUGCGAGUGUAGAGGUGAAAUUCGUAGAUAUUCGCAAGAACACCAGUGGCGAAGGCGGCGACCUGGUCCGGGACUGACGCUGAGGCGCGAAAGCGUGGGGAGCAAACAGG
rnacentral:rRNA from 1 species